AUUGAACGCUGGCGGCAUGCUUUACACAUGCAAGUCGAACGGUAACAGGCCGCAAGGUGCUGACGAGUGGCGAACGGGUGAGUAAUGCAUCGGAACGUGCCCAGUCGUGGGGAUAACUACUCGAAAGAGUAGCUAAUACCGCAUACGAUCUAUGGAUGAAAGCGGGGGACCGUAAGGCCUCGCGCGAUUGGAGCGGCCGAUGUCAGAUUAGGUAGUUGGUGGGGUAAAGGCUCACCAAGCCAACGAUCUGUAGCUGGUCUGAGAGGACGACCAGCCACACUGGGACUGAGACACGGCCCAGACUCCUACGGGAGGCAGCAGUGGGGAAUUUUGGACAAUGGGCGCAAGCCUGAUCCAGCAAUGCCGCGUGCAGGAAGAAGGCCUUCGGGUUGUAAACUGCUUUUGUACGGAACGAAACGGCUCUGGUUAAUACCCGGGGCUAAUGACGGUACCGGAAGAAUAAGCACCGGCUAACUACGUG
rnacentral:rRNA from 1 species